CGCGUAGGCGGUUGGAUAAGUCAGCUGUGAAAACCACGAGCUUAACUUGUGGCCUGCAGUUGAAACUGUCUGGCUAGAGUGUGGGAGAGGGAAGUGGAAUUCCUGGUGUAGCGGUGAAAUGCGUAGAUAUCAGGAGGAACACCGGUGGCGAAGGCGGCUUCCUGGACCACAACUGACGCUGAGGCGCGAAAGCUAGGGGAGCAAACA
rnacentral:rRNA from 1 species